AUUGCUUCUGGGCCUUUUGGCUAAGAUCAAGUGUAGUAUCAGUAAGUAUUUUCCCACAUGCCUUGAUUAUCAGAGUAGUCCAGACUACUUGGGAGCAAAAUGUUUGUGCAUAUGGUAUUGCAUUCUCCCCAUAGAUGUUCUGCUAGCUGUAGUAAUUGGGAAUGGUUGCUGGAUGCAGUGUCAUUUGUGGCCGGUCAUUG